GGAACAACGACAUGGCCUUAUACA
rnacentral:siRNA from 1 species